GGGGACUAUUACAAGGUGCUGAAUGUGGCAGAAACGGAGGGGACUAUUACAAGGUGCUGAAUGUGGCAGAAACGGAGGGGACUAUUACAAGGUGCUGAAUGUGGCAGAAACGGAGGGGACUAUUCCAAGAUGCUGAAUGUGGCAGAAACGGAGGGGACUAUUCCAAGAUGCUGAAUGUGGCAGAAACGGAGGGGACUAUUCCAAGGUGCUGAAUGUGGCAGAUAUGGAGGGGACUAUUCCAAGAUGCUGAAUGUGGCAGAAACGGAGGGGACUAUUACAAGGUGCUGAAUGUGGCAGAAACAGAGGGGACUAAUGCAAGGUGCUGAAUGUGGCAGAAACGGAGGGGACUAUUACAAGGUGCUGAAUGUGGCAGAAACAGAGGGGACUAAUGCAAGGUGCUGAAUGUGGCAGAAACAGAGGGGACUAAUGCAAGGUGCUGAAUGUGGCAGAAACAGAGGGGACUAAUGCAAGGUGCUGAAUGUGGUAGAAAUGGAGGGGGGAGAGGGCGAUCCCCGGCCAUACUGCCCUCACUGCUGCUCGGCCCCAGCGACUCAGGAGCCUGGGAAAGGGAAAGACCGUAUGGAGAAGAAGGGCAGAGAGAUGAUUACCAUGUCUAUAUGUAGCCUUCUGUUCCCCCAUCUCUUUGUAGAGUAGUGCCAUUGUC
ensembl:lncRNA